UCUUUUUCUUUGGCCUUUGCCCGCGAGGGCAGGGGCGUCCCCACCUUCCCCGGCGCCGGGCGCGGGGAGCGGGCCCUCUCCGGAGCGGCGCGGACCUCUUCCAUGUGGGUGGCCCGUCCCAGGGGCCUCGCUUCCCCCAGGGGCCUCGCCUCCUCUCUCCCCCAAGGGGUUCCCUCCUCCUCUCUCCCAGGAAGUACUUCUCCAGGGACCUCGCUCCGGGGGCUUCCUAGGGACCACGUGCGCCCACCCCAACUCCUCAGUUUGGGUGUCCUGCGCCCUCUCCUCCCUGCAGGCCCGAAGGCGUUGGUAAGGCGACAGCCGAGCUGUGGGAUGCGGUUUUCCCCUCUCCCGAUUUAUUGUUGUAAAAACAGACGCCGACCUGCCGAGGCAGACAGCAGCCGGGCGUCCCCUCUUUCUUGAAGAGGCCAGAAGUUAGGGCGCCCGAGCCCGGGCCUGGACCGCCUUCACCCCCAACCCCGAAUCUCCGCUUUUUGCGAUUUUAAUUUUGGCGGGAGGGGACGUGCAUUGAGAGGAAAGAGAGAGGCCGAGACAGUUUGUAACUAGAAACCAUUUUUCCCUUUUCAUUUUUUUUUAAACAAACAUAGAAAAAAAACAAAACAAAACAAAAAAGCUAAGAGGCGACGGAGGCCGAACGCAGAGUCCGGAUCGGAGAGAAAACGCAGUAAGAACUUUUAGAAGCAAUAAAUGGCAAAAAAAAAAAAAAAUACUACCAAUAAUAAAAAGACACAAAUAUCUAUGCAAGGAGGUUCUGACUGAGCCUAGCGGUCCGCCCGCCCGGGGUGCCCCUCCCGGCUGCCGACCGCCCCGCCCCAGCGCGGGUCUGUGCACUUUGGUGAAGUGGGGGCCCGCGCCGCCCCCUCCCCUCCCCAGGUUCUUACAAUCAGUGACUCGGAGAUUUGGGGCCCCAGUGCCACUGCCCUCCCCCGCCCCGUCCCCGUUGUGCGUCAUGCUGUUUUUUAAAAACCUGUUUCCAAAUUUGUAUGGAAUGGCAAACUGUUGGGGGGUCGGUUUGGGGAGGGAGGGUUUGCAUGAGAGACACACACGCACACACACACACACACCACACCGCACGCACACCGCACGCACUUCACCGCAGGCACGUGCAGGCCUGGCGCCGGCGUCCGGGGGGACUCAAGGAGGGCUAGGGCACCCAGGUGCUGGCCACAAACCCAGAGCAAAGGUGACACCUGGCCCUGGAGAAACCCUGCAACCCUGUCCUGGUUCCAAAUCCUGAAGCAGCUCCUGCCUUCCUGUCCCUCAUCUUCAACAAUUUUCAACAAAGUUUCUACUUGGGAGAGAAGGGGUAAGAACACCUGCACCCCCACCCUAUCCCCACCCCUUGGGAAACUUUCUCCAUCCUAAAGA
rnacentral:lncRNA from 1 species